CCCUUAGAUGUCCUGGGCCGCACGCGCGCUACACUGAACGGAUCAGCGCGUUUCCCCUUCCCGAGAGGGACGGGUAACCUGCUGAACCCCGUUCGUGGUAGGGAUCGGGGCUUGCAAUUAUUCCCCGUGAACCAGGAAUGCCCAGUAAGUGCAAGUCAUAAGCUUGCGUUGAUUACGUCCCUGCCCUUUGUACACACCGCCCGUCGCUACUACCGAUUGAACGUUUUAGUGAGGUACUCGGACUGAGCCUCAGAAGAUUCACGUCUUUUGUGCUGCUCGGGAAGAUUCCCAAACUUGAGCGUUUAGAGGAAGUAAAAGUCGUAACA
rnacentral:rRNA from 1 species